rnacentral:rRNA from 1 species
GCCUGAUCCAGCAAUGCCGCGUGUGUGAAGAAGGCCUCUCGGGUUGUAAAGCACUUUUGUCCGGAAAGAAAUCCUUGGCUCUAAUACAGUCGGGGGAUGACGGUACCGGAAGAAUAAGCACCGGCUAACUACGUGCCAGCAGCCGCGGUAAUACGUAGGGUGCGAGCGUUAAUCGGAAUUACUGGGCGUAAAGCGUGCGCAGGCGGUUUGCUAAGACCGAUGUGAAAUCCCCGGGCUCAACCUGGGAACUGCAUUGGUGACUGGCAGGCUAGAGUAUGGCAGAGGGGGGUAGAAUUCCACGUGUAGCAGUGAAAUGCGUAGAGAUGUGGAGGAAUACCGAUGGCGAAGGCAGCCCCCUGGGCCAAUACUGACGCUCAUGCACGAAAGCGUGGGGAGCAAACAGGAUUAGAUACCCUGGUAGUCCACGCCCUAAACGAUGUCAACUAGUUGUUGGGGAUUCAUUUCCUUAGUAACGUAGCUAACGCGUGAAGUUGACCGCCUGGGGAGUACGGUCGCAAGAUUAAAACUCAAAGGAAUUGACGGGGACCCGCACAAGCGGUGGAUGAUGUGGAUUAAUUCGAUGCAACGCGAAAAACCUUACCUACCCUUGACAUGGUCGGAAUCCUGCUG